CAAGUCGAACGAGAAAGUGGAGCAAUCCAUGAGUACAGUGGCGUACGGGUGAGUAACACGUGACUAACCUACCUCCGAGUGGGGAAUAACCCCGGGAAACCGGGGCUAACACCGCAUAAUACCGCAAGGUCAAAUGCGCAAGCAGCUUGGAGAGGGGGUCGCGGUUGAUUAGCUAGUUGGUGGGGUAAUGGCCCACCAAGGCGAUGAUCAAUAGCCGGCCUGAGAGGGCGCACGGCCACACUGGAACUGAAACACGGUCCAGACUCCUACGGGAGGCAGCAGUGGGGAAUUUUGCGCAAUGGGGGAAACCCUGACGCAGCAACGCCGCGUGGAGGAUGAAGUCCCUUGGGAUGUAAACUCCUUUCGAUCGGGACGAUAAUGACGGUACCGGAAGAAGAAGCCCCGGCUAACUCUGUGCCAGCAGCCGCGGUAAUACAGAGGGGGCAAGCGUUGUUCGGAAUUAUUGGGCGUAAAGGGCGCGUAGGCGGUGCGGUAAGUCUGUAGUGAAAUCUCUGGGCUCAACUCAGAGUCUGCUAUAGAAACUGCCGUGCUUGAGUGUGGGAGAGGUGAGUGGAAUUCCCGGUGUAGCCCUGAAAUGCGUAGAUAUCGGGAGGAACACCUGUGGCGAAAGCGGCUCACUGGACCACAACUGACGCUGAGGCGCGAAAGCUAGGGGAGCAAACGGAUUAGAUACCCUGGUAGUCCUAGCCCUAAACGAUGGAUGCUUGGUGUAGCAGGUACCCAAUCCUGCUGUGCCGGAGCUAACGCGUUAAGCAUCCCGCCUGGGGAGUACGGUCGCAAGGCUGAACUCAAAGGAUUGACGGGGGCC
rnacentral:rRNA from 1 species